UUGAAACUUGCAUGUCAGUUCUAGGUGCAUCAAACAUAGUAAACUAAUUCAAGUCUGAAAGCUAUCUCAUGUUCCUUUGUCAAUCCUCAGACCUGUUUACAUGGAGAGGUGGCAGAUACCUUAAAUGGUUCGAUCCUCAUGCCAAGUAGGACAGGAGAGGUGGUACAUACGCAUGUAGAUACCAAGACUUGCAUAAUGUAAAUACCUAAGUACGUCAUACAUAGUAAAACCAAUUCAAAUCUGGAAGAUAUCUCGUGUUUCUUUGUCAAUCCUCAAGCCUGUUUACAUGGAGAGGUGGUGAAUACCUUAAUUGGUCCAAUCCUCAUGCCAAGUAGGACAGGAGAGGUGGUACAAAUGCAUGUAGAUACCAAUAUUUGCAUGUCACUACUUAGUAUGUCAUUGUAAACUAAAUUCAAGUCUGAAAGCUACAGUAAAACCAAUUCAAAUCUGGAAGAUAUCUCGUGUUUCUUUGUCAAUCCUCAGGCCUGUUUACAUGGAGAGGUGGCGAAAACCUUAAUUGGUCCGAUCCUCAUGCCAAGUAGGACAGGAGAGGUGGUGCAAAUGCAUGUAGAUACCAACAUUUGCAUGUUACUACUUAGUAUAUCAUAGUAAACUAAUUCAAGUCUGAAAGCUAAAGUAAAACCAAUUCAAAUCUGGAAGAUAUCUCAUGUUUCUUUGUCAAUCCUCAGGCCUGUUUACAUGGAGAGGUGGCGAAUACCUUAAUUGGUCCGAUCCUCAUGCCAAGUAGGACAGGAGAGGUGGUACAAAUGCAUGUAGAUACCAAGAUUUGCAUGUCGCUACUUAGUAUGUCAUAGUAAACUAAUUCAAGUCUGAAAGCUAUUACAUGUUUCUUUUGUCAAUCCUCGGGCCUGUUUACAUGGAGAGGUGGCGAAUACAAUGUACCGUAAAUGGUAUGAUCCUUGUGCAAAGUAGGACUGAGAAGAGGUGGUACAAAUGCAUGUAGAUACCAAGACUUGCAUGAUUCCCAAUAUUAUUGCAAUUCGGUAGCAAAGAUGUUGACACCACAUGUCGUCUGAUGAUGAGUUUUACAGGAUCGAAUAAGGUUUGGUCAUUGUAUUCCCUGAAAGGAACAAGAGGAGAAAAGAAACUGGAAGACCUGCAUGCCUAUCCGCAGGCCAAUGCUGGCUGCAGGUCAAUAUUGAAUGCUCAUGAAAACUCAUAAGACAAUAACAAAAAAAAAAGAAGCUGAGGAUGCUGUUUUUAAAACAUGUUCCAUUCAAAAAUGGUGGAUUGAAAUCUAAGAAAGGUGUGACGGGUGCGGCUACUGCAGGCAGGGAGGAUUUGACGGUCAGCCAGAGGAUUUGGAGAUAUACUGUAAUGUCUUAAUGUGGACUUGCGUGUGAUUUAAGUUUUCACAAGGGUUUUAGUGUGUGUGAAAGUAUGUCAGUUUUCAAAAUUGAGCUAUGACAAUUUGCUCAAACUACAUAACUCAAAGAACUUUGAAGCGGUCUUGUUGACGUCAUGAGCUUUUGUUUAAUACCAGUACUGGUGA